AACGAACGCUGGCGGCAUGCCUAACACAUGCAAGUCGAACGAGACCUUCGGGUCUAGUGGCGCACGGGUGCGUCACGCGUGGGAACCUGCACUUAGGUUCGGAAUAACUCCCCGAAAGGGGUGCUAAUACCGGAUAAUGUCUUCGGACCAAAGAUUUAUCGCGUUUGGAUGGGCCCGCGUUGGAUUAGCUAGUUGGUAGGGUAAAAGCCUACCAAGGCGACGAUCCAUAGCUGGUCUGAGAGGAUGAUCAGCCACACUGGGACUGAGACACGGCCCAGACUCCUACGGGAGGCAGCAGUGGGGAAUAUUGGACAAUGGGCGAAAGCCUGAUCCAGCAAUGCCGCGUGAGUGAUGAAGGCCUUAGGGUUGUAAAGCUCUUUUACCCGGGAUGAUAAUGACAGUACCGGGAGAAUAAGCUCCGGCUAACUCCGUG
rnacentral:rRNA from 1 species